CCUACGGGUGGCAGCAGUGAGGAAUAUUGGUCAAUGGACGAGAGUCUGAACCAGCCAAGUAGCGUGAAGGAUGACUGCCCUAUGGGUUGUAAACUUCUUUUAUAUGGGAAUAAAAUGUUCCACGUGUGGGAUUUUGUAUGUACCCUAUGAAUAAGGAUCGGCUAACUCCGUGCCAGCAGCCGCGGUAAUACGGAGGAUCCGAGCGUUAUCCGGAUUUAUUGGGUUUAAAGGGAGCGUAGGUGGAUUGUUAAGUCAGUUGUGAAAGUUUGCGGCUCAACCGUAAAAUUGCAGUUGAAACUGGCAGUCUUGAGUACAGUAGAGGUGGGCGGAAUUCGUGGUGUAGCGGUGAAAUGCUUAGAUUUCACGAAGAACUCCGAUUGCGAAGGCAGUUCACUGGACUGCAACUGACACUGAGGCUCGAAAGUGUGGGUAUCAAACAGGAUUAGAUACCCUUGUAGUC
rnacentral:rRNA from 1 species